rnacentral:sRNA from 1 species
AUCUACCACUCGUGCAUUCCGGUUCGUCCGCGCCUUCCACGCCCAUUCUGAUGACCGGUCGCUACAUUUCGUUAGCC